CAAGCAGUGGGAGCCUCUUUUAUGGGGUGACUGCGUACCUUUUGUAUAAUGGGUCAGCGACUUAUAUUCUGUAGCAAGGUUAACCGAAUAGGGGAGCCGAAGGGAAACCGAGUCUUAACUGGGCGUUAAGUUGCAGGGUAUAGACCCGAAACCCGGUGAUCUAGCCAUGGGCAGGUUGAAGGUUGGGUAACACUAACUGGAGGACCGAACCGACUAAUGUUGAAAAAUUAGCGGAUGACUUGUGGCUGGGGGUGAAAGGCCAAUCAAACCGGGAGAUAGCUGGUUCUCCCCGAAAGCUAUUUAGGUAGCGCCUCGUGAAUUCAUCUCCGGGGGUAGAGCACUGUUUCGGCAAGGGGGUCAUCCCGACUUACCAACCCGAUGCAAACUGCGAAUACCGGAGAAUGUUAUCACGGGAGACACACGGCGGGUGCUAACGUCCGUCGUGAAGAGGGAAACAACCCAGACCGCCAGCUAAGGUCCCAAAGUCAUGGUUAAGUGGGAAACGAUGUGGGAAGGCCCAGACAGCCAGGAUGUUGGCUUAGAAGCAGCCAUCAUUUAAAGAAAGCGUAAUAGCUCACUGGUCGAGUCGGCCUGCGCGGAAGAUGUAACGGGGCUAAACCAUG
rnacentral:rRNA from 1 species